CAACCCUCAAGCUCAGCUUGGUAUUAGGCGGCUGCUCCCUGCGAGCACCUCUGAAAAUUAGCGGCAGUUUGAUCAGACUUUGAGCGCAAUAGCUUUAUUCUCGCUGGAAAGUUCUGAUCGGGCUUGCCGAACAACCCCAAAUUUUUCAAU
rnacentral:misc_RNA from 1 species